rnacentral:lncRNA from 1 species
GGGCUUGUGCCUUUCUUUGCCCCUUCCGCCUUCCGGAUGAAUGAAAGCAGAAGCAGUGGCUGGAGCUAGAGCAGCUAUUUAGGACUAUGAGAUGGAAGAAAUGUGGUGACAAUAGCAGAACAAAAAUAUAGAAAUCUCAGGUACUUGAUGACCACGGAGCCGCCAUACAAACUCUGGACUAUAAUUUCCAGAGACUGUUUAUGAAUGAAGAUACUGUCAUUACCUCUGCAAAGAAUGCAUCCUAGCACAGAUCAAAGAUCUUCCAA